GUAAAAAAUUUCCGGGAUUUCACAAGAUGUAACUGUGAUAUUUCACAGUAAAUUACAUUAUUAGCAUGUCACAGGCUUUAGCUGUGACAUUUCACAAUAUAGUACAGUAUUCAGACUUUUAUUGUGAAAAUAAUGCCAUCGGCGAAAUCACAGGGAACGGCUGUAAGUUCCGACGCGCGCUAUCUGUUUGGGUUCUCUCAUCUCUGCGGUCUCAUCCAACGGAUUCAGUGGUAAGUGUUAAAAUGUCAAAUUUUGUCAAAUAAAUGAUUGAUUUAUUUUCAAAAUAUAUGUCAUAGUGCAUGGAGUAUUAUCCAAAUGUGGUUAUUUGUAGGUUUCGCGUGGGUUGAACCGCUGAAUUUAAAAAUAAAGCAAUGAACAGAUGUUGGUAGUGUUACUGUGAGACCUUUUAGGAGCUUUAUUAAAAAUAAAACAUUAUUUGUUAACUUGAGCUUUUCUUAGUGCUAAGCUAACAGCUUUCUCUCUUUUUCUUCCUACACAGCAUCUUUCUGCGGUAUCCACUGUGGAGUAAAGUUAUGAGGUAUUUUUUCCACACUUCACAAGGAUGGGGACAUCACUCAGAAGAGUAAAGUUUCGAGAAGCCCUGGAUAACAACCACAAUAACAUUCUGAAGUUCGUCCAAGGAGUCAACUAUCAUCAACGGGGUGCUUCUUGGGCAUUAAUUCGGAGACAGACAGGCAGAAAGGACAGAAACAACAAGCUGCAAGUCUGUACACUGAUUAGAAAACUUAUGACUUGAAUGGAUGUCAGUCUAGUGUGUCACAAAUACUAGUUCUUUGUUUAGCUAGAGGCGAUUGUACACUUUGUACUCUUACAAUGUUCUAUAUCAGGAGUCUCCAACGUGGUGCCCAUGGGCAGCAGGUAGCCCGCACAGAGUCUGUGAGGUGCCCACCAAAUCACAUUCUAUUAAUAGUCUCAAUUGUAAUAUUUGUUGAUUACAUAUUUUUUAUAUUGACUUGGCUUGGUUUACAUAUGUUACAAUUUUAAACAAUACAAAAACAUAUCAAAAAGUACAAUGAAAUAAAAUCAACAAGUAAAACAAAAAAAGUUUUGAGUAGACUAUAUCAAAAGGUAGCCCUCCAGAAUGUUUUAUCCAUUGUGGUAGCCCUUGCUCACAAAAAGGUUGGAGACCCCUGUUCUAUAUUGUGUCUGUUAAAUAAAGAAACAUGAAGAAAUUAGUGAAUGUCAGUCUACAUUGUAAAAAUAAAAUAUUUGUUGCACUUAUUUUUUAAGUUUAAUUAACUCUAAAUUACAAUUUAUUUCAACUUUCUUGACUAGUGAAAAGUUGCUAUUAAUUAUAAAAAAUAAAGUUGAAAUA